ACAAAAUCGACGAAGCUUGCAAAAAGUUUUGAAGGUGAGCUGCGUUCGUGGUCGGUGUGAAUUUCAAAUCGGCUAAUUUUGUUGUCAUAUAUAUCCAGUGGAAUUUUAAAUUAGUGUCAAACAAUUGUUCAGCGGCUCGUUUGUUUAAACAACCUAAAGCAACUAAUUACCAGUCCUGAAGUAAAAAAUACGAGAAAGGCAAAAAUAAUGGCUGACGAAAGUCUUCUGAACGAUUCCAAUUUGGGAGCUCUGGGGUCGAAUGAUGAUGACUCGGAAUUGAUUCUUGAGGAUGACUAUUUGAAAGGCGCUGACAUGCAGAUAGAUCCCGAACUAGAAGCAAUCAAGGCUCGGGUAAAAGAAAUGGAGGAGGAAGCUGAAAAACUGAAACAACUUCAAACGGAAGUUACCAAACAAAUGACGCUUGGAUCCCCCACCGGGGUUACUCCAAUUCUUACGGCAGAAGAAAAGGCCGAAAUUGAUAACCGUUCAAUUUACGUUGGCAAUGUUGACUACGGCGCGACAGCCGAAGAGCUAGAGGCCCACUUCCACGGUUGUGGAACCAUCAAUAGGGUAACGAUUCUGUGCAAUAAAGCCGACGGUCAUCCGAAGGGUUUCGCCUACAUAGAAUUUGGCUCGAAAGAAUUUGUCGAAACAGCGUUGGCCAUGAACGAAACCCUCUUCCGUGGACGGCAAAUCAAGGUAAAUCCGAAACGUACAAACCGGCCAGGAAUGUGCACCACCAACCGAUUCCCCCGAGGAUCUGCCGUUCGUGGACGGGGCGCUCGGAUCGCGAGGGGGGCAUGCUGCUACGGAGGACACCGAGGAUCACGAAGACCUGCUCGCGGAUAUCGAGGAAGAGCCACCUACUACGCACCGUAUUAGGGAACCUAGUAAAAUGGGCCCGACACGACCACACAAUACAGCGUACACGUUUAGUUUACAGCAUCCCUAGAGAUAAGCCGGCAUGGAACACUGGGAAGCACCAGUUCCAAACUAGGAUUAUUACAUAUUAUUAUAUUUGAUUGCAAACAUCUUUUCAAAAAACAUUAUUUGUCUUCGAAUUUUCUCUGAAUAUAACGAUGCAUUGCACUGAUACUGUUCCCAAUCGUAGAAGCCAUUGUGAUAUAGUAGCCAUUCUUGAGAAUAAUGUUUUUUGAAUUCGUUCAAAACAGUCAAACAAAACAAUGGAACAAAAAUGCCACAUCAAAAAAGAUCCAUUCGAUUGACAAAAAAAGCCAACACGAAAAGAUGCGGAACGAUGAAAAAAAUGUGGAAAACACCAAAAGAUGGCAAAAUAAAAGACAAAAUGAUAAAAAAGGAAGGCAAAAGAUACAGAAAAUCCGCCAGCAUCACAAAAAAAUCCAUGGCAAUGAGAAAAGAAGACAAAUGUUUCGAAAAAAAAGUUUAAGCGAAAAGAUACAACCGAUGAAAAGAGGACCUGGAGCCCACAGUGAAAAAAGAUGAAAACAAGGAGCAACAGCGAAAAAAGCGGAGACGACAACAUUUAGAUUGAAAAUCAAAAAAAAAUUAUAAGAAAAACGUCAAGAGGUUUAAGUAUUAAAGAAUGCAUAUAUCGUAAGGAUAAAA